CCCCCUGUGCCCACACUCACACAGCCGACUGGAACAUCUGUGAGGCGCGCCUGGUGUCCUUGCCCUCAGCUGAAUUGGCGUGCACGGUCAUGUGGCAAUGAAAUGCACCCAGAAUUAGAUAGCUCAGGCCCCUUUUGCAGACAGAGGGCACAGCCCUGGCUGGGGCAGAAGUCAUGGGUUCGUGACCUGGCUCUGACCUCCCAGGCUGUGGGACUUUCAAAGAAGCUGCUGAGGCUGAAGCCUAGCCCCUCCCCUACUCUCAGACACAUGAGGGCAUGGAACAUGGAUGUUCUUCCUCUUUGAGGUCCUAGCCUGGUUUCUGGCAUGCAGAAAUCAUUUGAUGAAGAAAUAGCUGCUCCUGAUAAAUGAAUCCCUAAGUCUUCAGAACCUCUACCUUCCUGACUUGCUAGGAGGGAAAAAUUCAAGAGUCCCUGACACCUGCUCAGGACUGGAGUGGCUGACUUAUCACAAAGACACCCCCUAUUGGUCCAUAUCUGUUUCAAAUAAACUCCAUCAAGUCAUCUGAGCCACUAGCAUACCCAUGCCUCCAGGAUCACCUUGGAACAUGGAUGCCCUAUGCAUCCCCUACUCGCCCCAUGCCCACCCUCCCAUGGUUGUGGUUCCUGAGAUGGUUUGCAAGACCUCAUGCUACCAAGGGUUCUCACCCCAACCCAGCCAUGGACGGCACAGACCGAGUGCAGAUGGAACAGCGCGAGUGUAAAAGACCCAAGCAUCGGGAAAGAACGUCGAGAGUGGCCCCAGGACUCAGGAGGGUAGCCAUUGCUGCCUUCUCGCUCGGGGUCCAACACCGGGCCCCCCCUUCGCUGUCCC